UUCAUCUAAAGCUAAAUAUUGGCCAGAGACCGAUAGCGCACAAGUAGAGUGAUCGAAAGAUGAAAAGCACUUUGGAAAGAGAGUUAAACAGUACGUGAAAUUGUUGAAAGGGAAGCGCUUGCAACCAGACUUGCAUGCCGUCGAUCAUCCUGGGUUCUCCCUGGUGCACUCGGCGGCGUUCAGGCCAGCAUCGGUUUUGGUGGUUGGAUAAAGGCCUUGGGAAUGUGGCUCCUUUCGGGGAGUGUUAUAGCCCUCGGUGCAAUGCAGCCUACCGGGACCGAGGACCGCGCUUCGGCUAGGAUGCUGGCGUAAUGGUUGUAAGCGACCCGUCUU
rnacentral:rRNA from 1 species